rnacentral:rRNA from 1 species
UACAGAGGGUGCAAGCGUUGUUCGGAAUUAUUGGGCGUAAAGGGAGUGUAGGCGGUUGGGCAAGUCUUCUGUGAAAUCUACGGGCUUAGCCUGUAACGUGCAGAGGAAACUGCUCGGCUUGAGUGUCGGAGAGGAUAGGGGAAUACCCGGUGUAGAGGUGAAAUUCGUAGAGAUCAUGAGGAAGACCAGUGGCGAAGGCGGGUCUCUGGACAGUUCCUGACACUGAGGCACGAAGGCCAGGGGAGCAAACGGG